rnacentral:misc_RNA from 1 species
GCCGGUGGUUUGGAUUAUUUAUUUAUUUAUUUAUUUUCCCCCCAUGUGCCUUAUCGAUAGCUCCAUACAUGAUAGUCCUACGAUUUUUUCACCCUCGUUAGCUUGUAAACUAAGAGGGGAAAAAAAACUGCAAUCACAAUAAAGAACUGCGCGCCUGGCGAUCAAUAAUAAUCCUGGGAGAUACCGAGCAAAGUUGGAAGGAACCAUGAUUGUGAUGUGCCACGACAGAUGGAUGAGGAUAGACAGUGAUAAACUCAGGUUCCCGGCAUGAUCGUUGUACCUUUGCUGAAGAAAUCAACAGGACGACGCCGCCGCCGCCGACGACGACCAAGGUCAUAUGCAGUCGAUGGACAAUGCACAAAAUCCAGCCAGGCCAUAGCAUAUGGAUUGAUCGGCAGAAACACAAGGGACUACGCUACAAUGCACAAAAUACACAGGCAACUAGUAGAUCUAGAAGAUGCCGCGGCUGCGAGCAACCUCGAGGAUAUCCUCACCACCGGUGAUUGUAGAAGGAGCGGUUGGGAUCAUGAGCACGGCCCUGGCGAGAGGGUCCAGUUCGGGGCUGCGGCUCGGAGUCGGAGACCUGAUCUUGUUGGCUCUUCUCACCUUCCUCUUGCAGACCCUCUUCCUCUUGCAGACCUUCUUCCGCGGCUUCAAUUUGACCCGCUCCGGACGGCGACUCUUACUGUCCGAGGGAGGGGAGGGAGCGGGAGCGGGGGGAGGGGUGGGGUCAGGCUGGGUGAAGGGGAUGGAGCACAUGACGAUGACUUCUUCCCCCUGACUCUGCGGGUCCUGAUGCGUGAGAGGCGGCGUGCUGAACACCUCGACCUCCUCCUCCUCCUCCCCCUCCCCCUCCCCCUCCUCCUCAUUGUCACGGGAGAUGAAGCGGGCGCGGCCGAUGAGCUCCUCCUGCGAUGCGGAGGCGUCGAUGUCCGCCUCCUCCGCGGCGUCCCAAGCGGCGUAGGCGGACGAGGCCAUGCCGCCGAGCCACCAACCAGCGGACGAGACGUUGGCAGAUUGGAACCGACGGUGGCUAGGGUUUGGCUAGCUUGGAUGGAAAGGGUCUCUCCCUGUCCGAGGGAGGAGGAGAGGCGGCCCGGUGUGGCUGUGGCAAUACGGAAGGAAGGAGGGGCAUCGCGUCGGGUAUGGGGCCGAAAUGUACUGGGCUGGGCCUCUCUGUCUCCCUGCUUGUGCUUGGAGGAAAAGGUUCCUGCAAUUUGCCAUGACCCUCCUUUGUUAAACUAGCUCCAACAAGGAGCUCUAAAGUGUCAUGUACCCUAAAUUUAGAGUGUGUUUGGUUGCAAUGACAGGACGGGGCGGGAUGAGAUGACCCCUCAAAUAAGGUUGUUUGCUUCAGAGUUAAGGGUUGGGACAGGACUAUCCCAGUGUUGUUCUCAGUUAUCCCUUAAAAUUGGAGGGACGAGAGAGAACAUCGACGCCCUUGUUCUGGCUGUC